AUGGUAGAAGCAGAAGAGCUGUUCAUGGAACAGCCAAUAUGUGCUAUACCUCAAAAGGAAGAAAAGAAAAGAAAAGAAAAGAAAAGAAAAGAAAAGAAAAGAAAAGAAAAGAAAAGAAAAGAAAAGAAAAGAAAAGAAAAGAAAAGAAAAGAAAAGAAAAGAAAAGAAAAGAAAAGAAAAGAAAAAAGGAAAGGAAAGGAAAGGAAAGGAAAGAGAAUGGAAGCAGAGAGACCAAUUAAAGGGCAAUUAGACUAGUCCUAGGGAGAGGUGUUAAAGGAUUGAACUAGAAUUGUAUCCGUGAAAGUAGAUAAAAGGGAACAGAUGUGAGAGAUGAUGUAGAGGUAAUGUUGACAAAACUUGGCAAGUGAUAACUGAUAGGAUAAGAAAUUUAUUUCCAACAUCAUUUACUCUCCAAAAUUUCUCCUGACUAUAGCUUUUAUACUAGCCCUCUAAAUUUAAACCAUCCUCAUUUCUACUUCUAACCAUUGCCACUCACAUUCUAGCAAUGUCCAUUCUGAGUUCUCUUUGACCAUAUUGUAGGAACAGAGACCCUCCAAAGACAUAUUUCAUGUCUAAUUUAUCUUGUUCUCUGCUCCAUCUUGUAGACAUUGGCUUUAUACAGAAGAGCUUGACAAAUAUCUCUCGAAAAAAAUGGAUAAGGGUCAGUUGAACAAAUAGGCACAUAGAGGGGUUAACAUAACAUUAGCACCUCUCAAGGCUCAUUCUUCUAGCAAAUAUUGAGCAGGAAAAUUUGUUUGCUAUAGUACAGAAUACUACUUCUCCACACAAGUUUUUGGGAGGUAAACCAUAGAUCUUCAGCAUAAGUCCAUAUCUGGUGUUAUCUUUAAUAUCACUUAGUGAAAAUUUAGCUUUCAGAAAAAAAGGUCUUUACUGACAAGAUAUAUAGCAAGAAUGUUAUUUGCAGAAGUCUUCCCCAAUUCAGAGGCAUACUCUCCCCUUUCACAAACAUAAGGUCCCUUGGGUAAGAGGGAUCAAAAUGCAAUGGAAGUAAGAUGCACAUACACAGAGCAGGUGUGGGCAAAGGGCACCUCCUGACUAUUGGCCCCAGAAAUCAUUUUCUUGCUUUGUAGAUUGCUCAUGAAAUUUCCCUUAAAAGUAGCUCUCCACUGGCUUUUUAGGGUUCAUAUCUAGCAUUUCUCUCCAGCAAAAGGGAGGAAUAUUUGCCAUCCUCAGAAGACUGUUUUUCUACCUCUACUAGCACCUCUUCCUCUGUCAUUGACCAACAUCUCUCUGGCAGACUAUGAAACAAGUUCUGCUUGACAGUGGAAACUUUUUCAUGGCUCUUAUGAAUCCUCUAAUGUCAUCAAUAGCCUGAACACUUCUUUUCCGAAUGCUUAUUUACCUAAGUUCAGGAAAGAAUUCAAAAGAAACAGAAGUGCCACCAGUCCUACCUCCUUGAAUACACACACACACACACACACACACACACACACACACACACACACACACACACACACAGAGACCACCCCACCACCCCCUACCACCAAAGCAAUUCUUAUUUAAAAGCCAACAGAAAAUAAAAAGGGUGAGAGAUCAGCCA
ensembl:lncRNA